rnacentral:misc_RNA from 1 species
CGGAAAAUUCGGAACCGGUUUAGCUAACUCAAAGGACACAACGUAUGGAUGUAUUACUUUAAAACUGCGCGUUGCUUGCAACAAAAGGAACACAGUAGGGAGAGGCCCACCCCGUGCCCCACUUGGAGUUUCCGCCCAAGCACAGAGCCCAACGAACGGCACACGUCGACAGAGCCAGGUGUUUGAUGACGAACCCGAGGAUCUACGCCUUAUGAACCUCCCGUCCUCUAGUCGCCAGAGGUAAUCGGGUUUUAACCGUAAUUAGCGAGCGUAGCUAUCUGACGGUGGCAACGGAGCUCUGAAACACUGGAAGCCCGCGUUACGAGAGUACGCUGCAGCUGCAGACACUCCUUACGAG